rnacentral:rRNA from 1 species
UACGUAGGUGACGAGCGUUGUCCGGAUUUACUGGGCGUAAAGAGCACGCAGGCGGUCGUGCAAGUCGAGUGUGAAAGCCCCCGGCUCAACUGGGGAGGGUCGCUCGAUACUGUUCGACUUGAAGGCGGGAGAGGGAUGCGGAAUUCCCGGUGUAGUGGUGAAAUGCGUAGAUAUCGGGAGGAACACCAGUGGCGAAGGCGGCAUCCUGGCCCGUUCUUGACGCUCAUGUGCGAAAGCUAGGGGAG